UUUUUUUUUUUUUUUUCUUGAUAGUGUCUCUCUCAUGUUUAAGCUUUUUUCGGAAUCAAGCCCACAUUCUUCAGCACGGCAUUGAAGACUCAGGAGCCCUCCCAGUCUGGCCCCAUGCACAGAUGGAAGGCUUUCUUUCCUGGUCCUUAUCCUUCUCUGCACAAUACUCCAGUCACACCACACCAUGGACUGCUCUCUGACCCUCAUGGCAUUCCAGUGGCGUUAUGCUCUCAUACAGCCUUCCUCAUUUGCCCACCUUGCUUGUCUCUGACUCAUAUUCUAUUCCAAGGCUAAGCUCAAAUGUCAUCAUAUCUCUCAAACUGUCCCUCACACUCCCACCCCCACAUGAUUUAGUUGUAUUCUGCCUUUUGUUCCACAGGUCUUUGUACAUCAUGGUAUUAUGGUGUUUAAGUCUGUACAUAUGUAUUUGUAUUGCCAUCCCCAACCCAGGCUCCAAGCCUUCUGAAGGUAGAAAACUGUAUCACAUAAAUGAAGAAUGAAUGAAUGAAUGAAUGAGUAAAUAUUUAGCCUAUCUGUCUGAACUGCCUGCUCUGUCUUAGCCAUUGGAAACAUGCUUAGAACUAAAUCAUUUUCUAAGAAACAAUAGUCUUCCUUAGUAUUAAUUUUAUAUUAUUUUUCUCUCUUCUCUCCAAGCCCUUAUCACUUGGAUUCUUGCUAUUUUACUUUUGCUUUAAGAUAUCCCUGUUGUCUUAUUAACUACUUUGAGUCCUACACAGAUUUAUGUAAGUGAGAAAUAUACAAUAUCCUAUGUACCUCACCUGAGCUAAAUAAAAUCAUUUUCCAUCAAAGGAA
rnacentral:lncRNA from 1 species